CAUGGACCCCAACAAUGAUGCUGACAGGUGGUGGAAGCUUUAAGAUGUUCCUCCAGUGUACCACUUGCUUUCUGAAGCUAUCUUCUUAUCCCAGUACACUGUAACUAACAUCCACCAUGGGAAGCCAUGAAGAAGGGCUUUCCAGUCACAACCACCACCAAGCCUGCCGCUUGUCAAGCUAAAGACAACUCCACCACCACUCCUUCCCCCAUCCCAGUUCCACGCUAGACACUGUCCCCAACCUGCAGGUACCCAUCUCCAUUCCCUGCUCUUCCGUGAUUCUCAGUGGUGCCUGGAU